rnacentral:rRNA from 1 species
UAGAGUUUGAUCAUGGCUCAGAGCGAACGCUGGCGGAAUGCUUAACACAUGCAAGUCGCACGGGCAGCAAUGUCAGUGGCGGACGGGUGAGUAACGCGUAGGAACGUGUCCGAGGGUGGGGGAUAACGCUGGGAAACUGGCGCUAAUACCGCAUAUGAGCUGAGGCUCAAAGCCGAGAGGCGCCCAUGGAGCGGCCUGCGUCCGAUUAGCUAGUUGGUGGGGUAAAGGCUUACCAAGGCGACGAUCCCUAGCUGGUUUGAGAGGAUGAUCAGCCACACUGGGACUGAGACACGGCCCAGACUCCUACGGGAGGCAGCAGUGGGGAAUCUUAGACAAUGGGGGAAACCCUGAUCUAGCCAUGCCGCGUGAGCGAUGAAGGCCUUAGGGUUGUAAAGCUCUUUCAGCUGGGAAGAUAAUGACGGUACCAGCAGAAGAAGCCCCGGCUAACUCCGUGCCAGCAGCCGCGGUAAU